rnacentral:rRNA from 1 species
UGGGGAUGACGUCAAGUCAUCAUCGGCCCUUACGGCCGUGGGCUACACACGUGCUACAAUGGUCGGUAACAAAGGGUUGCCAAGCCGCGAGGUGGAGCUAAUCCCAUAAAACCGAUCGUAGUCCGGAUCGCAGUCUGCAACUCGACUGCGUGAAGUCGGAAUCGCUAGUAAUCGUGAAUCAGAAUGUCACGGUGAAUACGUUCCCGGGCCUU